UCUGGCAGUCAGAAAAGCCAACUUGCAAGCAUCCCGCAUGCUACAGAGGAAAAAGCGCGCCUGCAUGACCCAGUCGAAGUCGUCGACAGCGGGCGCAAUUUCGAUGCCGAGAUCGGAGUUGUCCAGAGAUCCGCCGUGCGACAUUGCCCAGAGCAUCCAGCGCAGCUGAAUGCAGUUGCUCCACCAGAACGCCCGGCCCACCACGUCGUUGCUCGCCUCCGCUGCCGCCUCAACCGCCCUGCAGCAAGACAGGGACUGACAGGCAUCAGCACAAGCUUCAGCAGUGUGUGUGGCAUCACAAAAACAGCCGCACAAAUUUUCCGAAGACGGUGGCCUGGAGCACAUGACUAGCUCCUCAUAACAAUAUAAAUUGGGCCAGACAAAGGACAGGGGAGGCUGUUGCCAAAAUAGAAACUUCCAGCCUGCAGAUCUUGCGUCGCUUGCUCAUAAUAGCUAUUAGAUCAAAGCGUUGACGGAGCACGCACAAUGGCUGUGACGGCGCACAAAGGUAUCGGUGCAACAAUAGAAAUUUCCAAACUGCACAUCGUUCUCAAUACAUGGUGCUUAACAAUGUGAGCUGGGAGUCAGGGAACGCCGCGCACCUGACGGCGCGCAGCCCGAAGAGGAUACCCUCCUCGGGGCCGAGGCUGAUCGUGGUCCGCGCCAGCCGCCGAGCCGGGGCGUGGCAGGAGCGCGCUUUGACCCGCUUUGCGCCGCCCUUCCCGGCCCGCACCGUGUACACCGCGGCC
rnacentral:lncRNA from 1 species